rnacentral:rRNA from 1 species
CGGCGCUAAUACCUCAUAUGCAGCGGACCCGCAUGGGUAUGUUGUUAAAGGUUACCGCCUUGGGAUAGGCUUGCGUCUGAUUAGCUAGUUGGUGUGGUAACGCACACCAAGGCUACGAUCAGUAACUGGCUGAGAGGAUGAUCAGUCACACUGGAACUGAGACACGGUCCAGACUCCUACGGGAGGCAGCAGUGAGGAAUAUUGGGCAAUGCACGAAAGUGUGACCCAGCAACGCCGCGUGGAGGAUGAAGGUAUUCUAUAUCGUAAACUCCUGUGAGAGCAGACGAAAGACAGAUUAUUAAUUUGGAUGACUGUAUGCUCAGAGGAAGCCCCGGCUAACUACGUG